GCACUGCUUACGCCUUAAUGCUAACUAUAUAAUCUGUGUAAAUAUUUAUAAUACACCUAUUAUCAGUGUAAACAUGCAGCUUAGUCAUAUGUUGACUCAUAAUGAAAAAGUGACAUUGAGAUCUUUCCUUUGCUUAAUAACACAAGGUUUAAACAGGUUUUAGGAGCAGUAGAGUAGGUCUCAGUCAUUUUUCUGAGAUUUAUACUGAGGCUUUUCAACAUGAAAAAAUUGGAAGGCAACAGCCUACUAUGGAAUACAUGGAUGCAAAUUAGAUCCAUAUCUAAAGGAUAUUUUUAAAUUAAUGCUGGGAAUCUGAUAGCAGCAUAUUUGAAACACUGUUUAUGUUAAUCUUGCAGGAACUAGUUAGGACUAGCCUUCAAAAGUAAGAAGAAUGUCAAAGGAUAAAGUAAAGGAGCUGUGACUUCCCUGGACUGUCAGUACAUGACAGCGUUUACAAAUAGUAGAAUAGAGAAGCAGUAAUCCAGAAUUUGAUACAUAGAAUAUUAUGAGUCUGACAGAAAAUUAACAAAUUACAGAUGAUUAAAGGAUUGGUUUAAACAUGUUAUUAGUUUAUAUACAGCUAUUGCACCACUGUUACCAUUCUGGUUCUGAAAACAACGCAACACUUUGGAAACUGUGGAGGCGAGCCCUUCUGAGAGAUCCAAACUGAAAUACAAUCUGAUAGCAACAGUUUUGUAUGAAUUUCAGGGCUUACUCUUUGGCAGUCUUUGAUCUGCAGUAAUGUUGUCUUUGCUGUGUAGCCCACUCAUGGUCACUUUUCUUUAGCUAGUGUUGCACUUUCUCCAGUUCAGCUGCCAUCAUCAUCAACACUGUAACUUUAUAAUACACUUUGGACAAGUGGAGUGAAAAAUGUAGAUGCUUUCCCUCCAGCUUAUAGAGAUAAAAAGGAAUAUAUCCUGGAGGUUCUUGAUCUGUUCAUACAGUCUGCCGGAAGAAACAGGAGAAACAUCUGGUGGAAAAUAAAAGAGUGUAUUGGUCUGAAUGUGGGCUAGAAGAAAUGGACUAACAUCAAAAAGGUUUCAUAACACUUUCAGCCAAAGGGGCCUUUGAUCAUCUAGUCACCUCCUGCUUAUCCAGAUACUUCCACAUUGCAUUGAGACACUCCAGUUAAACCAAAGCUUUUUCAUCCUCAAAAGCUUGAGCUGUUGCAUGUGAUCAGAAGAGAGCAGACCAAAAGCUAAUGUUCAGGAAAUGAAUGUGUGAAAUGUGCCAAGAUGAUGGUACCAGGCAAUCCCUCUAUACAACUAAAGAGCUUUCUAAAAAAGAUAUCAAAAUCAAAGAGAACAUAAUUUGAGAUCACUGGUGAAGGCAAACUAUAACGUAAAAAGUUAUUGGCUAUGGAAUAACAAGAGAGUAACUUGCUGUCAUCUAAAAUUUAUUUUAAAACAUGUAUAUGCAAACAUCUAUCUUCAUUUUGCUUGACCAGAGGAAUGUUAAAUAAUCAUUACUAAAAGAGUCUGAAAGUUGUUAACCAAAAUAUUACUAUAGGCAGAAAAUACUCUGUUGAAUACAGUUAUUUUUUUCAGUGGCAACAUAAUUUACAUCUCAUCACUUACAGUUUAUACAAAUCAUGAAGUUAAACUGUAUUCUGCUGCUGGCAGGGAAUUUUUGUUAAUACUGUAGCUGUGAAAAUUUUAUUAUUAUUUCCCAUUUCUAUAAAGCAUUCACAUAAUGUUUUCCUUUAUGGAAACAUGGGGUUUGAUCCAAUUUUUUAUGAAAUUUUAACUGCUUUAUAGAAAGGAUAUACCAAUAAUCUGGUGACAUCUUUGUGUCCUCCACUAGCCUGCAGGAUGCCAGGACAUUGGAAGCAGCGUGCUCCCCCAGGGAGGUGAAGUGUCCAUUUGUAGUACUCCCACAUUCCCAGCUCUCAAAGUUGGGCUAAUCCAGAGGCAAUACUGAAGGGCUUUAUCUGGCACUCCUUGUAAGGAGGGAUUUGUCAAAGAUAGUAAAGGAAUUUCUCCAGAAAUUACAUUAAGCCCCUUUUUGGAAGUCUUUUCUUGCUCUGUAUUUUCUCAUGGAUAUAUGAAUAGAAUUCGUGCUUUUUGUCUUUUUAUGCUGACUUUGGUUCUGCAGUGUAUACACUCACCAACCUGACUCAUGUCCCCUGCAGGGAGGUGGAGAGGCAGAGCAUGGGUGGGGAAGCAUUUGAAGAUGGGCUGAUACCACUGGAAACCUGGUCCUAAAAUUUUAUUACAUGAUUUAGUCCUUCUAUUUCUGUUUUCAUACGAUGAAAGAAGCUGUAUUUCCCUUGGAAUCUCAGAGAAGAGGCAUAGUAUGGUAUAACAAGGAAAUGGUAGCUGAUUAUUUGUUUUUUCUUUGUUUUAACUUAAUGGACUUUCUAAAGCUAUCUUUAACAUACUAAGUUUUAUUUAAUGACACUAAGCCUAGAAAAGGCACCUGUCAUGGCCCAGAGUGCACUGAUGGGCCUUAGUUGUCCUGACCAGCAUCACCUGUGUCCUCCCACACACCUCUGCCCAUGGGUUCCAUUUAAGGUGAGCCCUAGGCCUCUGUUUCUUCCCUGAGCAGGGCUGUAGCAGUGCUAGUCUCAGCUCUACUCUGGCCUUGCUCUGCCUCUGAGCCCUGCUGAGCUGGGCCUGGCCUCUGUGGGAUGAUGGCUCUGUCUAGUUCUCCUGGUUCUGCCUCUAACCUGCCUCAUUGUCGUGGGCCUGGUCUGUGACCUGAACCCUUGGCUGGGCUCAACUGCCACCCCUGGACCCUCUACCCCGUGCUCAGGUGCCUUGGAACUGGGCCCCCUUAGCAUUGCUUGUCCCCUAGAAGGAAUGGAGCGAAUAUGCCAUUAAAGACAUUGAAUCUGAAAGUUAUGAUUAAAAACUGGGCUGCUGUAGGUGUACUGGUCUCCCUAGGACAAAGCCAGAAGUGUGAAGACAGAUGUAGUACCUCUCGGUGGUGGCAUCAACAAGUUCAUGGGAAGCCCUCCUUCAGACCUGGGGCAGCACUGGGAGGUGCCUCCAUGUGACACCUCUGUGCCUGCCUCUCACCGCACGCGGCUGAGGCUGAGAAACCGUAUGUCAUGGUGCUGUGCCUGUGCAAACUGCUGCAACAGGUUGCUGUCCUGCUAUUCUGGUUUAUUUUCCACUCUGCUGGAGAUGAUUGCCUGUCAGCCCUCUGCUGAUAGAGGUCUUUAAUCUUCUUUAAACAAAAUCACAAGGCUGGGGGCUUGGGAUCAGAUUGGGGCUGGGUGGGGCUGGAGCUGGCAGGAUUCACUCCAUUCCCUGUGUGUGCUGAGAGGAGACAGUACAGCUCCAGCUAGAACAAGUACCACAGCCCUGGGCUGUCCUGUCCCACCAGCCAUCUCCACAGUGGGAAUCUCACACUUCAAAGGCCACUUCUGGAACAAAGCAGAGGUCGGGGCAGGGGGCUUGCAACUGGCAUGGAAUGAGCACAGACAAGGGCAUAAAGAUAGUGCUCAGCCAUCUGCGUGGGUGUUUAUGCAAACCUUCUAGGACUUGUUCAGGUUUCUGGGGAUCUUCCAGCUUUCUAGGUAGAAGGGCAAGUUUUUCAGCCAUUAAUGCAAUUAACCCUCCCACUUCCCAGAGUCAAAUAACUCCCAUGGGCAUUGCCCCAGGGACCUCUUCAUCCUCUCCUAAAAACUUGAGUCUGUGUGCAGCUUUUUCUUUCAGCAGCUGAAAAAUAUAUUUCUGCUAUAUGUCACUUUUAUUUUGAUUAUUCGCUCUGUGUUUUAAUUUUUAUCUAUGUCCAAUGAGGUUGAGAAAUGUAUUUUUUAAUUACUUCCCUUGUUCUCUUUACUAGCUUUCUGUCUGUAAAAUAAUAAUCUCUGGCAGCUUUUUGGCUUUUGUGAUUGCAGAGUACCUCAAUCAGUUACAACAAGGUGACUCAGCGUUCUGUGCAGCCACUUGUGAAAACUUCAGCCAGGCCUUCACUUGAUUAAUGAGCAUCGACUUAUUCUUGAGAUAAAUUCAUGCUGGAUUUUACCCAAGGGCUACAGAGUGGGCACUCCAGAGAAUUCAGUGGAAGAAAUCUGUACUUGAAAUUACUUUUCUUUGAGAUCAGUUUACUUAAUGAUUGCUUGCUUGAAGGUAAUACCACUGAUAAGGAGGAAAAGCCAGUCAAAAAUGUAAAGAGAACUACAUUCAUUAGAUUCUUUUUUUCUCUUGUUUGUGUAUAAAAACCAGUUUUCUCUCAGAUGAAAAAUUAUAUGGCAGACCCUUUACUGGGCCAAGUCCCUGAGGUAGGUGUUAGCUUACAAGAUGCUACCCUGCACCUGCAUGGUGCCUUUCAGCAGUGGCAUUUGUGCUACUGGGGACCUGGCAGUGAGGAGCAGUCCCCCUCCUGCCUGAACUGCUUUCCCCAGUGAUGACUGGCAUAUCCAUGUUGAUAUCAAUCACCAGCCAUGUAUUUAAGUGUAUUUUAGUUGAUUUCCUGAAAAAUUCAUGUGUGGCAAUUACCUGCAUGUUGGUCUCCCCCAGUAACUUCUGGAUCAACUGACCAGUUUCAGUGUCAUAUGCCAGAAGUAUGGGCUGCAGGUCCACCACCUCCAGUCAGUCUUUUUGGUGAGGAGAGCUGCUCUUUGCCGUGUGAUGGGAAUGGCCAAGGGUGUGCAUGCAAAUCCCAGAGCUGAGUUUAGGUGCUGGAGACAUGGCAGAAGAUACCAAGUUUGUCUAAGAGGCCUGUCCUGCACUGAUCAUUUUAUCCAUACCCUCUGGGCAGCUGGGGCUCUGCGCAUUGGUGGAUUUGUGAGCUUGCUCGCUCAGCCUUAUUGGCCCGUACCAUGUGGAAGUUCUUUUCCUAGACAGUAGGUCAAAGACAGAUGGGCAGGAGGCUUUGGUGAGACUUGAAACCAUUGGGUUGGAAAUGGAAAGCAGGGAGAGGGAUAAACAAGCAGAAUGUGGGCAGCUCUGACAGUAUAAUGGUUGAACCUGAUAUUCAUAACAGGAAAUCAGGGUUAAUUUUUCUGCUAUUCAUGACUUCUGCAUUUAUAUAAGAAGUUGAAUACCUGUUUUGAUGCAGCAUUGGGGGGUGCUGUUGUUGAAAUACUUAGCAGAAAAAUCUACCAAGUGUAUAAUCUAUGCAGUAUUUGAGUACUUCUGUUGAUGUAUCAGAGAAGUGUUUCUCUGAAGGAAUUGGAUGUGAUUCUGCAAAUCCCAGGUUCAUUUGCAGAAGGAGAAGAAAUAAAGAUGUAUGCGUAGAAAAGUCAAUAUACUGAAAUGAAGAAAGCAACAGAAGAUAAAACACAAUCUGUGUGUUUUUAGAGCAUCUGUCAAUCUAAAGUAAUAAUAAAUAAGUAAACAGAACCUUUUUAAUUUGUGCAAGUUAAUUCCCUUCAGGGCUGAAUUAACUAAAGCAUAUCCCUAUGAAAUAGCCUUCAUCAUAUAAAUCAGUGUGCUGAUGGAUUACUGAGUUUGCAGCCAAAAAACUGUACCAGCAUAGGUGUGAAGUUUCCUGAUCAUCUAAUAAAUUGAUAACUUUGAAGCCUAGUUGUGACAAUUUAAAUGUCAUCACUAUUAAACAAGUUGCCAAAAUGCAAACAACCAUCCUAAGUCAUUAAAAUGUAAUUAUAAAGGACAGCUGGGUCUACUAUCAAUCAGGGCUGUGGGGACUAGUAAUGGGGAAAAAAUAUGAAACUUUCACACAAAUAGAAUGAGACUCCUGCAUGUGCCAACCAGAGCCUGCAUGGGAAGCAACAAAACGUGUUUUGUGUGUAUGCAGUUACUGAUGCUUAUAGAAGGUUUGCAUUACUGAGGUGGACAUAGGAGUCAGUGACAGUGUGAUAUCCAGCAAAUAUCUUCACAUUCUCUUUAUCUGCCAUAUAUGAGAAAGCCCUUUUGGUUACUAAUGGGGUAGGCUUUGUUAAUGAGAGACAGAUAGACUGGGGGGCAGUUCCAAUCUAACAAAAAUGACAAUGAGGUGGGACUAAAUGUGCUCUAUUGUGGAAUGGCAGCACAGGUGUUGUAAGCCCCGUUUUGAGAACCAGGUGGACUUCAAGUGAUAAUGAAGGUUUGCUUUUUGGCUGAAAGUAAUAAAGACCAAACUGACUAUCAGGCUUUGCAGGCAUGGAUCUAUUAUGUUUAUGAAAGCUGUGCUUAGUCACAUUGAUAACUGAGUUAUUGAACUUUAAUAUUAUUUGCUUGAUGCUUAUUUACUUGAUACUUUGAAAUGGCCAUGAUGCAUGCAACAAGCCCAGUCCCUGCUCAGAACUUGCAGCUUCUGCUAUGGAUGGUAUAGUUCUAAAUUCACACUGGUUUCAGCUACAUCCCAGUAGGUUUUGUCUGUUAUUCAGUGAUGCCGCAUGUAGUUGAUUAGAUUUACUGUUGAUACAUACACUGGAAAUGGAGGAACAAGCUAGAACUGUGAUACUGCUUCAUUAAAAUAGUAACCCCAAAAGGCCCCUCAGUCUUUUGGUGUAUUAUUUAUAUGUAUUAUGGAUCUACAACAGCUGCUAGCUUCUAUAAUUAAGCCCCAUUUUCCCUAAAUGUGGCAGGAGGGGUGAAAUCAGUGGGAUAAUUGGUACAGUUCUAAAACCGAUCUUUUGUGUUAUGUAUCUUAAUGCAUAACUCCAGUAUUGAAUAGCUACUUUUUUUGAGGCUCUUACAAAUCUAAAUAGACUUUAAAAAUUGGUGAAUGCUAGCAUAUUAUUUCAAAUAGUAAUUCCUUUUUUCUUGUACAUCAGCCUAAAGCAUGUAAUUCUCAAAAACUGAGGAUGCUGUGAACAAUUCCAAGGUGUGCCCUAAUUGAUCAGUGUUCCUAAAAUAUUUAGGUAUGAAAUUCUCCAUGUUUUUUUUUUUUUUCUACUAUCAAGUAAGUCUUUGUGGUGCACUGAGAUGUUCAUUGUGCUGAAAAACUUCAUUUACUCUCAUGAAGAAAAGUGUGCUAUUGUAUAUGGGUGUUCAAACCAUUCAUAUCCUUUUUAUGUACUUGGAAAUGACAUAAUAACUGAGUGUACUACCAUUAUUAUCUACCUUUCACUGUUGUAAAUUAUAACUUUUGUUUGUUUUGUAACAAGAAUCAGUUAGUAUGGAGCUUAGAGAAACAUUUAAGAUUACAAAAUGUUUCUAAUGAAGAGAUUGUUUUCUGAUGCAAAUGGAAAGCCAAGCUGAGAGAGAGUUUCUAUUUUUAUGCAGAAGGAUACAGCCUCUCAACAGACUUUGUCCUUAUUUUUUGGCAGAUUUGGACUGCCCUACUCAAAAGCAUAAACAAGCUUCAGCCUAUCAACACCAGAAGUGAGACACUAACCUGUCAAAUACAGAGACAUGAAUAAAUAGAAAAACAAUAAAAGUCAGUAAAGUAGGAAAUCUCACACAGUGUGAAUGAUUUCCUAUAUAGCAUAAGCAAAAUUUUCUGCUGUUUUUUUUUUUUUCCACACAGGUACACUAAGAAUGAUUAAUUUUUUGUCACCAGUGCAGUUAUGAAAUGCAUGCAAACUCCAGAGAUCAUGCUGGCUAAUGGAUGAAAUAGUUAUCUUGAAAGGAAAAACAAGCUUUCCUAUAAUUUCCAUUCAUGUCCUCCUGAUGUGAGAUGACAAUUUACUGCAGGUUUAGGAAAUUAAAGUAAAAUGUUAGUUUUCCAGGUGCACUGAAGAGGUUUUGAGAUUAAUUUGGCAAAGGUGAUGGUAUUUCUCACUGCACAGUGAAAGUCAGCAACAUGACACUGUAAAAUAUCCUUAGUAAUAGUCAGUUAGAAAGUCUGCGGGGGAUAAGGUUAGAGAAAGGUGAGCAGCUGACAUCAAAUCAGAAGCCGGAUGUGCUGACCCAUAAUCAUAGGCUUUUGCAGGCUUUUUUGGACUGCGAUUCAGCAUAACAUUAUUGAAUUUACCUUUAGAUUAAGCUGGUCUGCUUUGACAUAUACAAACCCAUAUGCAAGUUAAUGGCUGUGUCAUCCACUUAAUUAUGCAAGGUUUGAAAACAGCUCAGUGAGGUGACCCCUGCCAGCACUGCUUUUCCAGGUCCUUUGCCACUUGCAUUUUCAACAAAUGGAAAGUGGCACUGCCCAUUUCAGUCAUGUUGCAUUGUUAGUAUUGUGUAGACAAACCUCAGAAUAGUAAUAUACAAUGUGUUCUUGUUUGUUUUCUUGGAAGGUUACUGAGAGCUAUUUAACUCAGCACUAUGUUAUGAUGAAAGUCAUCUGCUCAUGUAAUAGUGCGAAGUCUUUGGCUUUGCAGAUAAAUCAUUCUUAGAGAAAGUAGUCCCCACAAAGGCAUUCCUUAGUGGACUGAAAUUAAGCACAAUCAAACAUUUUUGAAGGACUGAAAUAUCUUAGGAAAAAAUACACUUUUUCAUAAACAUCAGGAGAUGACAAAGGUGCAAUUAUAUGUGCAAACCCUAACUGUUGCUUGUUGUUUAUACGAUCCCGCGGUCUUUGCUUGCAUGGUCACUCUGCAGAGAAUUUUUGUGCUAGAAUUGAACUGAAAGAGAGCUUCAUAUGGUUGAAUUUCUACUACUUUAACAAAUAUUUUUAGGUUGCUAGCGUAAUCUUAAUGGCAUAUUGAUGUAGUUUUAUCUUUAUUCAGAGGAUAUGCUUCUGACUUGCUCACUUACACAGUGCUUACUCAACAAAUUGCAUGGUAAUCGGUAGUAUUAAGGUUGAUGGCAACAGAUCUGUCUCUCGCGCUCUGCACUAAAGACUACACUUACUGAAUAUUGCACUGAUGUUGAAUCAAACUCAUUGCUGAUUCCGCUGAAAUUAUUUCCCUUUCAUGUAAUUGUGGGAAAGGAUUUAGCCAGGAGCUGCGCAGUGGGCUUCUGCUUUUUGCAGUCUUCACUGUGCAUAGUCCAACUCGCAACUGAAUAAGACAAGCAUGCGAAAGAGUGGGGAUGUUCCUUGGACUGAAUAAUAUCUGACCCUCUUCCCAGUGAAGUGACUUCAGUGGGAAUUGUGUGCUCCUAUAGUGAAAGACCUUGGGUGUGCAUAACGACCUCGAAACCCACAUGAAAUGUUAUAAUCACAGCUAGUAGCAUAGUAUCCCAGUUCUCAAAUACAGAAACCACAGAAUUCAAAGGCCUGAUUUCUCCUGUUCACAAGGCAAGGGGAGGCAUAUGUAUGGGCCAAGCUUAUGUGAUGUCUGACUUUAGAGUGUUUCCUGUAUUUCUUAGCUCCUACUUCACGCUUACUUUUGUAUUUUUGUCCUUUGUUCCCAUUAACUGUUGCUGUGGGAAGGCACAGGUUAAUUAUUUUAACACUUAAACCUGAAUUUGUGGUCAUUCUAAUUUCAUCUGCAUGAGGAGUUUCAAGCUAACAGGUUUGGGGGGAGAGCUGGGGGGUAGUUGUUUUUUUUCCUGCUCAGUGGAGUUUCAUCCAGGACAGUGGUCACUUCGUUUCUGAGGAACGCAGCUAUCAAGGAAGACUGUCAUCGCAGGUUAAAAAUGCAUCUUGGCUGUAUAAGGGUGCUUCCACCGAACCCACUGCAGUUCUCCAGUUCCCCUAGCAAACCCCCACAGGAGGAAAUGGCCUCAAGAUGUGCCAGGGAAGGUUUAGAUUGGAUAUUAGGAAAAAAUUCUUCAUGAAAAGGGUUGUCAGGCAUUGGAACAGGCUGCCCAGGGAAGUGGUGGGGUCACCAUCCCUGGAGGUGUUUAAAUGGCAUUUAGAUAUGGUUCUUAGGGACAUGGUUUAGUGCCAGAGUUAGGUUAUGCUUGGACUUGAUGAUCCUGAGGGUCUGUUCCAACUGAAACAAUUCUAUGAUUCUACUCUCUGGUGAAGGUUUUGCACUUCUAAACAGAUAUAUUUCAUUUGCAAGUCCUAAGACUUCAAAUAAUACACCUAUUUCAUAUAGGCAUGCUUUCUGUAUGAGUUCUGAUGUGCAAAAGUCAUAUCUAUAAAACACAGGACUUACAAACUGUGGGGUAGGCAUCCAUGUUGUACUGCUGCUCUGUUGGGGCAAGAAGCACAGGGAGCAUCUCCAGCUGGAUAGCAGAGGUAGCCAUUGCAAUCCAGUUUGUCAGCUGUAAACCUUGUGCAGAGGACACCUAUAAAGUAACCAAUGGGUUUACUAAGUGACCAAUGCCAGUAUUGGAGUCACCAGGUUCAGGUGGGAGGGAGGGCAUGACUACAGUCUUUUCCCUUCUUGGUUUUUGGAGUUCUCUGGCAAUAGAAGGAAGGUAGUGAAGGUAGUUCCUGCUGAAAUCAGGACAAGGUGGUGGCAGAUGGGUGAAGCUUUACUCUGCUGGAGCACAUCUAUGCAGGACCUUGGGGCACAUGUGUUCAGGACACUAAUGCUGUUCAGCAAGCUGGACCGUUUUAUACCAAGUUUGCUGUAGCAGUCUAAUGUAACAUAAGGAACUCGAUAUUCUACAGUAGCUUAAUUAAAGUCAAAAGAAGACAUUUGAAGUUAGUUAAAUACAGAAGUAUUUCAUAAUGAGAAUGAGUUCCUCUGGGAUAUUAAUUUUUUUAUUACUUUUCCCACCACAUGGGCGGCUUUGGACUAGAGGUUAAGAACAAAAGCUGGAUGCUUCUGCUGAAAUUCUCCACAUAGAAGUAAUUACUGAGGGCAACAGUUUAACUUAUCUUUCAGUUCCAGACUCAAUAACCCUUUCAGAUGAUUAGGGGGAAGCAAACCUCUCCAUUAACUUUUUUUCAGGUUGUUCUGCAGACUCAGGAAGAUGUUAUUUAUACUCUGUUCAUGUGUUUGAAUUGAUCUUUGUCAUUGUGUGGCCAGAAACAUCUGCUUUAAACAACAGAAGCUGAGAUUAUUAAUAACUAUUCUAUAGGAAAGUAUUAAUUCAGCAGCCAACUGUGUAGCUAUAUAAUUGGAGACUUGCUGAUAGCAUGGAUAAAUUGAGGGUUUCAUUGUAUUGAGAUGACAGUCUUGCAUCUGUCAUCACUGCUAAAUAAUUUUUAGAGGCUUAAAAAGCCCAAGAGGUAUCCUGUCCCUAUAUGAAAUUCAGGAUUUAUCCGUUCCUAUCUCCUGGGUUCUAUUUUUAGAAAUAGAGGAAACAGAGAAAUCAGUCUAACUACUAUGUUUGCAUUUGUAGUUUAAUCUUAUGAAAGGGGGAAGAAGUAAGGCAGACAUAGUCAUCUGUGGAAAUUGGCAUAUCCUUAGUAGCAUGUUCUGAUUUUCUUUUUGGUAACAAUAUUCAAAUUGGAAAAUUGUGUGGUCCUGAAGGCUUAUCUUUGAGGAAGCAAGCAGAGGAACUGCAAGUGGACACCAAAGGGGUGUCUGAAGCCAGCCUCUAUAAAUGCUGACAGUAACAACAAGGAAAUGAUAGGGUGCAAAAUAUACUGAAUUAAGUUGGAUAUUUGACUUCACAGUAUUUACAUUAGUUUUGUACUUGUAACAUGAAACAAUAAAUACAGAAGCAAUUACAUAGCUUGAUAAAUUCAGCUGGUGCGAACCUGGGGAGAACUUGGGUGAGAAAAUCAGUGAAACUACUCUGUUUACUUGAAGUGAGGUCCUUAGCUAAGAGCCCUCAAAAAAAGAACUAAGAUAGGAUUCCUGCAGGGAAUAGACUUGUAUGUACAAACUAUAUGGCAUGAGGAAACCUCAGCAUUGUGUUCUACAAUUCAGCCCUUGAGUUUUGCAGCUUUAGCUCUGGCUUUUCUCAAAUACAGGGUGCAAAGUCAAAAGCACAGUCCUGCCAGUCUGUGCACUGGGCUGCGCAGCGCAUCUGCUGAUCGCAUGGGAGUUAUCUAAAGGGAAGCCCUGCAAAUCAGAUAUAAGCAACCAAUUUCACCAGUUGCUCUCCCCCUUUCUCCAUUUUAUAAUCAUCCUGAUUCUCCCAGAUUUUUUUAACUGGACUCUGGUUCCUUUUUGGCUACCUAAAUCCAUCCGUCGGGAAAGGCUUUUUUUCCAUGUCCAUAUAAGAAAAAAAUGCAGAUGUUACCCACUUUGAGACCCUCCUCUCCAUAACUGGUGUCAUGUCCAGGGUGAAAAACAGCUGCUCACUGUACUUUCAGUGUAAACACCAGCAUGUACAUUUGGAUAAGGAGACCAUGGAAACAGUGUGCAGAUAGCUUCUCUCUUUUUUGGACCAUACGGCAAAGACAGUGUGUUGCCUGGUAUGUGUUAGCUACUAAUAAUGCCCAGUAAUGCUUUGUAAAAAUAUAUAUAGAUAGAUAGAUAUGUAAUGCAUCUAAUAACAAAAUAGGAGGAGAGGAUGUAUUUAUGUAAAUUAAUUAAAACAUCCUCAAAAAUUAAUAUGUUAAAGUGGUUAGAAAAGCUAGCAGAGGGUAAUAAGCAUGGAGACAUUCUCCUAUUUGUCAGUAGAGACUAUGAAAUGGUUGAAGCUGCUGUAGCACUGCGCAUGUCAAACAGAUGCAAAGUAAUUUUCAGCACUAAAAAUCACCCGAUAGCAAUAACUCUAGAGCAAUGUUGUAUUCAUGUAUUUAGCUUGUAUGUAUAAAUACUAUUAUUUAAUACUUGCAUAUGUGGCUGUAUGUGAGUGCAUAGCAAAAGGAAUAAGAAAUGUACUUGUUUUACAUAUUAGAAUUAGCAAAACAGAUUACUUAUUAGCAUUUUUAUGGGCAAUAUUUCUUACAGGAAACUGUCUCUGUUCUCUUUGAAAUUAAUGAGAAUUAGGCACCUGGAUUUCUUUAAAUAUCUGGCUUUUGGUGUCCAAAGUUAAGGAAAAAAUGUUAUUUUUGUUCUAAGAAAAUGGAUUUGUCAGCUCAUUUUUUUAAUUUAAAUGUAUAGGACUGGUCUGUGAAAGAGAUGGAAAUCCUGCUUUGUAUUACCUACAUCAUGCUCAGUACAGUAUUAGGAAACAAGUUUGUUUUUUUCUAAUUUUAGCAUACACAGUAAGAAGAUCAGAUGCCAUUUAAUUUAGAUAACUUGGCUUAAUUUUUGAGAAGAGCAAUUGCUGUUGACAAUAAUAGCAGUUCCUCAGAUAGUUUUUAUUUACAAUUAUAGCUGUAGGAUUUAAGAUGCAUGUCCGGGUGUGAGUGCAGAUCCUGGCUGAGAAACAGGAGAGAAUGCAAGAGCCGGAGAACUCCCCUGCAGAAAGAGCAGAGCCCCUUUAUCCUCAUUGUGUGACUUCAGAGGCUCGUAAAUUGGAUGUGACAUGGUAUAGGUCUGCUAAAAGACUAUCAGAAUUAAAAAAAAAAAUAAAAAUAAACUAUUAGGUGAAUGUUAAUGGUCUCUUUGUCUCAUUCUACUCAAUGAGAUUUUUCUUAAUUCAACUAAUACAGCUUUUCCAGAUAAUGUGCAUAAAUCUUUCUAGAUCUACUACACUUUUCUGCUGGAACGCUUUCAGGGUAAACAGUUUACCUUGGCCCUGGAAUUAACAGGAACUUGGAUCUCCCCAAUUUACUAUUGAAAUGGAGUUUGGGCUGAGAUACAAAAAGCCCCAUUUUUUACAUUAAAGAAAUGGGCUCAAUAAUUGUUUUAUGGCUAGGUCAACACUGUACUUGGAUGACAGGCUGUUUCCUAUCUUCUUGUUUCUGAUAUUCAAAAAGAACGAUCUGUUUCUCUAUGAUUAAGCUCCCAAAACUCUCGAAAGGCAAUUUUGGAAGGAAGUUCCAGUAUCUGUUAAAUAACUAUUCUUCAAAGUACUUGCUAGAAACAAGUUAUGUAACAGCACUGUUCAGCAGAUUCAUUUAGGAAUAAAUGUACAUACUGGCUUGGUAAAUGGCUUUUAGCUGCAUGUAUUUGAGUUGCCUGCUUCUGUGGUAAAACAUGAAAAUCAGACCUUUAUUACGAUAGUCCUAAAGUCAUCUCUAAUUCAGACCACCUCCAAUGGAGGAUUGAAGAUGAUGAACAAAACACAUUUUUCAUCACAGACUUUUCCAAACUUGGUAGAUCUUAGACACAUAAAUUAAUUCUGAGUAUUUCAGUAAUUUAAUCUAUGUACAAUUCUACAGUGAUUUUUAAAAAAUCUUAGAAAUUUUAGCCUACAAGGCAAAACUAAUGUCUUUCUGGGACCAAGUGUCUGAUUUUCUUGCUUAAGUCUAAAACAUUUGACAUACUAAAAUGUAAAGAGAAAUAACAUUUUAAGGAGGCAGGUAAACUUAAGAUUUAUUCACAGUUGAUUUUUCUUGGUCAUUUGUCUUUACAAAAAAAGAAAAGUUGCUGUUACCAUUACUAAAUAUUCCAUUGAACAGAGCAGUUUCCAUUGAUUGGAGUCCCACUGACGUGUUUCUGGAAACAUAAUCCAUUUUGUUUGGCGUUCCUGAACUUUUAAACCCUAAACCCCAUUACUUCACACCCAAUUCUGUGCUCUUGAAUCAGAUCAAUAUUUCUCAUCUGAGAAAUCACCUCUUCGGGGCAACCAGGACAUUGAAAUGCUUUGGGGCAGGUGCCCAUUCUUGGGUGGCUGGUGCCAUUUUGGGUGCUCAGCAUGUCCAAAGUGUUUGCACAGGCCUGGGGGGCAUUGUCCAUGGCCACACAGGACUGUGGUACUUCUGGAGGAGUCCCUGCAGGGCUUCCUCUCUGCACCUUCACCUGGGGCUGUAAAGUAUUUGCAGGGACCAGGAUCACUUUUGAGAAUAUUCUUGCUCAUGACCUAUUAAUUAAAUUUGACCUUAUUUAGGCAGUCAUAAUAAGAAUGUGCCAAGUAGCAGCUAUUAACUUCCAUUAGGCUGAAAUCAGUUUCUUCAGCAACGUUCCCAAAAAUGACUGUUCUAAUUUGGCUUGUAUCAUUUAAGUGGUAAUUACUGUGGUAACAUUUUAAAUGCAUGUGAUGCCUUCCAUUUUAUACAACAAACCUGCACUAAGUAGGAGUUGAGAGAAAUUAAUGGGUUUUGACUAGACUAUUCAGAGCAUGCUAGAAAAGGAAACAUUUGAAUAGUGGUAAAAAAGACAAAUGUAGUUUGGGUUAUUUUUUCAUGCAGACAGAACUCAAAACAAUUGAUCAUUUUUGUCUAAUAUUUCCUAAAUUUGCUUUUUGUCUGCGAUCAGUCAUGAAAAUUUUGAGUCCUGAAAAUACGAAGAAAAAUGAAUAAUGUGAAAAAGGGAUUUAAAUUCUUCCAGUGCCUUACUUUGCAUGGUAAAGCGUAUCAGCUUGCAGGCACACUUACCAGUGCGCAUAUGUGAAAGUAAAUAUAUAUUUUUGUGCUUCAUACAACCCCCCAUCCACCCUGCAAAUCCUCCCCAAUGCGGAUAAUGCCUUUUGGCAACUGGAGCAAACUAAAACAUAAAGCAUAGGAAUUAACAUACAUAAGUGCACUUAUGCCAUAUUUAAAGUUCAAAGAGGGCUCUCUGAAAAACUGCAGCUAAUGAUCAGUACUUGAAUCAGCAACAGGUACAUCUAGAAAACAAAGGAAAAACAGAGGCUGGGUGACAACUUCUGCCUGAGUGUUUUACCAGACAACUUCUUGAUCCCUGAUGUUAGGCCUCCUUAUGGAGGUACUAGUUAAAAAUGUGGAGCAGAAAUCUGCAAAUAGGAAGUGGUAAAGGUGGAGACUGGUAACAGCUGCAUCCAGUUCAGGUGAUUCCAAGUGUUUUAAAACAGUACAAUGCAGUAACUGUUGCAAGAUGGGAAGGGAUGUCCUCAUCUGCACUGCUUCAUCAUUUGUUAUGCUCUAACUCUGGAGAUUACUCAGAGCCUGGACUUGGUGCUGCCUCUCUUAAGCUGUGCCUUGUGCCCAGAGGAUUACUGAGAUACAGCUUGUUGAGCUUGUGCUUUGGAAUAUCAACGUUUCUUUAGUCUGACAAAACCUGCUGAACGUUGGACUCCACUGACCAUCUCUCAUAACAACAACAGCCUCCUGCAGCUCUGAACUUCUGUGGUGUCUUUAUCGUAUGCACAGGCUUUCCCCAGUCCCCCAUUCCUGGCUGACACAACCAAGGAAUCAGUAAGGAUCCAACAGCAGCAGCAUGUCCUGCUUGGAAGCAAUCAGCCCUGAGAGCAGACCGCAGCACAGGGACUAGCAGCAAAGAUGAUCGGUCACCGGCAGCUUCCUUAUGGCCAAGGGAAGGAUCUCUGACUUCAUGCCACGUGCUUUCCAUGCGGUUUCUGGAACAGCAGACCCCAAAGUGCUGUUAACUCACCCCAAUGGCACGUAGUAUGAGCAGAUGGGUCAGCGCUGCUGGGCUCCAUUCACUUGCAGACCAGGAGCUGAUUUGUGCCUCAGAAGGCCUAUGGGAUCUGGUAGGGAGCAACACCUCUUCUCCUUUUCUUCAGUAAUUGCUAAAUACCACUGCAGGCAGUAGCAUGCACUUUACCUUCUGCUUUAUUUAUCAUUCAUUAAACACUACGACACCUAAAAGAUGAAAUAAAGCUGACUCUCAGUAAGAUCAAGACUUGCUGCUAUCACCAAGUAACCAUGGGCAAAACCUUCUAUUUGGCUUUCAUUUUCGUACCACUGUGGACUUUGCCACAGAGGUAAAAAACAAAAUAAAACCCCAUGGACUUAUGAAACUCCUUUUCUCAGUCAAAAACUGCUUGAGACCAUUGCUUUAAGCCAUGCACAGACAAAAAUUAUUAUAAAUUGGAUAAAAGAUUCUGUAACUUCCCUUUUGAAAUUCAUGCUCCAGGCAAUUUUGUCUGUAGAGAAGAAGACAAAAUUAAAGCCAAAAAAAAAGCCUGGGAAGCAUUGAAACCUUUUCUGAACAUAUUACAAGAUGGAAAUCUGAAGAUAAUAGAUGCAGAACUGAAGGUUGAUCAGUGUAGUCUGGGAAUUAUCCCAAAGCAUUGCUUAGCUUCCUGUUAGUGUAGUGAUAUUUCAGUGAGAUAUCCAUAUUCCUUGAUGGAAAGCCUAGGAAUGAUGUUUGGUCUUUUCUGGCUGCUUCAGAGACAUACAAAGGUACACAGGGAGGUAGGAAAAUUAAAAAAAAAAAAAAUCUGUAUGACUCAAUAGUGUGUUUAAGAGCAAAGUUGGUUAAACCGAUCACUAGAACAUAACUUAAAUAUUUCAUAUAAUGGAUGUAUGUGCUCUAAAUGCUGAUAUGAGUAGAACUGUUUUAUACAUGAGGUGAAGAAUACACUAUAGAAACAAUCCUAACAAGUGAGGUGGGGAAAUGAUGACUUAGACUCUUCUAGUUCUAGUUACUGUGAUACAGUGGAAUACAGCUGCUAAUAAUCAGAUAUGCUUACUGUUCAUAAUGUAAUACAUUUGAAGAUUCUAAUUAGUCAUUCCAUCUGUGCUCUUGAUUUACCUAAAAGAGAUGACAGUAGAAGUCAGGGCCAUAAGAUCUGUUGUUCUGCAUUUCCACUGUAAUAAUGAUAUUACUACCAUUCUUUUAACAGAGAAGUUAAACAACUUGUUUACUUAAGUAAUGAUUUAACUAGUUUAGAGUCAACUACACUAUUUUUGAAGGAGGAGUUACACAAGUUUCAUCCUUAAUGUUGAAUGUAGAAAAACAAAUACUGCAAAUGAGCUUAAAUAAAUAAAAUAUGCAAUCAAAUUAACCUUGGAAUGAUGGCCAGAACAUAACUGUGUCCAUGUGAUGGGAGGGACACAGACUCAGGCUUUUCUCCAUGGUGCCCAGUGUCAGGACAAAAGGCAAUGGGCACAAACUGAAAUACAGGGAAUUCUGUAAGAAAAAAAAUCUUUCCUGCUGUGAGGCUGGUCAAACACUGGAGCAGGUUGCCCAGGGAGUUUGUUGGAUCUCCAUCCUUGGAGGUAAUCAAAACCCAACUGGAUAAGGACCUGAGUAACUUGCUGUGCUUUACCCUGCUUAAAAUGGGGGCAGAGGGUGGACUGGAUGAUGUCCAGAGGUCCCUCGCAACCUCACCUGUUGUGUGAUCCUGGGUUCUGUCAGUGGCUUGCUCUGCUCACCUUGUUUGUGUGCAGCAGGAGUGGGCUGCCCCUGGGGAGGUCACUGCCCCUGGCACCCAGCUGCCCUUCCCUUGCAGUGACUCAUUUCUCCUGCUAGACAAUUUGACUCAAACUCAGAAGGAAAUGGAAGAAAAUAAUGUUCAGAAAGUUUUGAUUUCCUGACCUGUUUAUUUUUUCAUGAGAUUCUGUUCAGAAGUAGAGUUUUUCACAAUUAUUUUAAGUGAGGAGCUGGAUGUGGAAGAUGAGAUCAAGUGUUUCAGGAAGAGCUGGAGUGGGGGUUACACUAAGAAACUUUGUCAGUCAGUUGGGUCUGGAGGGUGAAUUGACCAAGCUGAUGAAAGAGUCGUCAUGCUGCUUUUCUUACAGGCUUACAGUGAUGAAACCUUGCCUUUGGGGAAUGUUUCUUUUGGUUUUUGUCCUACUGAGUUAGACUUUCAGUGGACCCUAAAAGUUGAGAAGAAAAUAAGAAGACGACUAACACCCUUUUAACAGAGCAGUCAGGUACAUAGAAAACUGAGCGAAGUGCAUAGAGAUGUGUCAAGAGGAGAGAAAAAGGCUGUAAAAAAAAAAAAAGAGCAAUAAAAGCAGCUGACAGUGGAGAAAAAGAAAAACCAACAGUGUAUGAGUGUCACCUGAAAAGGUAAAUGAAAAUUGGUGGUGUUUUCUUAUUGCAUUAAGGGCAUGUGUUUAGUCUUAACUCCAGCUUUCACUCCAUUUUUCAUUUACCCAAACCCUCUUUUUUUUGCGGCUAUCUGAGAGUCUAUGUGUGAACAGGUGAAGGUGGCUUCAAGAGAAACUAGUCUUUAUUGUAAUUUAGAGCAGCACUACAUGUUUAAUUACUUUUGGGUGCUCACAGUGGCCUUCCUGAGAUGCCAUUCUGCCAAUGCAGGAUCACCAAAACACAAGUUUUGGUUAUCUCAUGGCCCUUACAUAUCUACUCUGCCAGGUUCAGUAGUGACACAAUAGGAACUAAUUGUUUUGAGCAUUUUGUGCCUCAUGGCAUUACCAUAUGCUAAAUUCAUCUUCAGCCACUUACUAAGGCAGAUAAAAAAUCAGAACUUUGAUCCUUAUCUGUUCUGUUCUAAUUUGAUGUAGAGGAGGUAAAGGAAUAUAUUGUCUCCAAAAGAAUGGUUAGUUCCAGUAUGUUCUGAGGUGUGUGAUCUGAAUAUGGAGAUGAAGGGUACUGCAGAAACUUGCUUGUAUGGAUUUUGGGGUUUGGACAUGGAUACUAAAAUAGCAACCUACAUUUCAUUCAUGUUUAUUGAAACUGAAUUUUUCCUAUAGAGAGAUAGCGAUGUGUGAUAGCCAUGGGUAUUUAUAUAGGGAAAGAAAUGUCUUGAUUUUCUGCCAGGAUAUUCUAGUAUGUGAACCCCUUUUCAAUUAAUUGUCCAACCUGAAUUCUCAGUAGCUCACUGUCAAAGCAGGGGAAGUAUUUAAAUGGAAAAAGCAAGUGUAUGUUUUCUCUGGUGUGCUGGUUUGCACAUUUAUGGACUUUACAGAGAAGUGCAGUACUUUAGAGCUUUGGAACUCUAAGAGCAAGAAAGAUGUGACCUGGUGUGAUGCAAACUAUCUCUAAAAAUAUAGUUUUCAAAAUAUGCUGAAAA